AAAUUGACAUUUGACGUGAAAAGAUCAAAUGUCAAAUGAAGCGUCAAUUCAUCAAAUUUAAAAAUUUGUUUAUAUAAAACGGUUUAAUUAUAAUUGUAUAUAUUUUAUUAAAAUGAGUCAAAUAUAUAAGAUACUGAAAAAAGUACAAAUGAGUAAGGCUGCACAUCAAAAACAAUUAAAAAUUCUCAGAAUGUACUAUGAUAAGAUUCCACUGGAAGACUUCUUUGAGGAAAUUAGAAUUGUUUUGAGGCAUGUCUUUAGUAUCAAUACGAUAUACCAAAAAAAUUGUUAUGCAGAAAGAAUUCUUGAGUUCUUGGCACAAUUUGUAGCAGAUGUGACGCCUGAAGGAACAGAAGAUGAUAUCUCUGAUGAAUGUACUCACCCCUUUCUAACGCUAAUUAUUACAGACACACUUAAGUACCACAAUUUAGUACAUGAGUACCACCGUUACAAUUCAUGUCUAUUUGUUAGACUUAUAUUACAAUGUAUAGGAUCUGAUAAAAACCUAGACAAUGAAGUGUGUGAUUUAAUUGAAGAAGCUAUGCUAGAAAGGACAAUGGAUCCCAAACCAACAGUACGUCUUCAAGCAGUGUUAGCUUUAAUAAGAUUACAAGAUCCAAUGAAUGCAGAGUCUCCAGUGAACAAAGCUUAUUUAUCUUUGAUAGUUGAUGCUAACAUUCAGAUUCGAGUUGAGGUUGUAAAAAAUAUUGCCAUUUAUAAUAUAUCUGUUCUUCAAAUAGUAAAUCGGUUAAGAGACAUAGACAGCAACGUACGCAUAACGGCUUUCCGAAGAUGUGCAGAUUUAGGACCGAGAUUAUUCAAGAUAUUUGAAAGGCAACAUAUACUUAUGUGUGGUUUAUCUGAAAGCGUUCCAAAAGUUAGAAACGUUUUUAUUGAAAAUUUGUUAUCAAAGUGGUUGAACACAUACGAAAAUAAUUAUAUAACAUUUUUGAAUGCAUUAAAAUUAGAUGCAGAUGAAAAUGACAUCGUAAAUACAGAGAAGAUAACUAAGGACGUUUUAAAUCUUUUGUUUAAAUCAACACCACUUAAUCAAUUUACCUCCAUUUUACCUCUUGAUAAAAACAAACUGAUACCAUUCAAUAAGCUGACAAGUGAGGCUGUAGCUGUUUGGAAUAAUUUGACACUGUAUUUGAGAGAUAAUGAUAAUAUGGAAGAUUAUCUAGAAGAUCUUCUUCCAGAUCUCACACCUUUCUGUCAUUAUAUUGAAAGUCUCAUAAUAGAAAAAAGAAAAAAUAAAAUGGAAGAUUGGGAGUUGUUAGAUUAUCAAUACAUUUUAAAUAAUUUACUGGGUAUUGCAGAAAACUACGAUUUAUCUGAUGAAGUUGGUAGAAAAACUUUGCAUCAGCUAACAAUAAAAUUAUUACGAGAGGAGAAUUUGUUGUUCAAAUUGAAAGAAAAAAUUGUAACUUUAGUUGAAAAAACUGCUCAAAAGACUGACGACUUCACUAGUAUCAUAUGUCACAUUAUUUCCGAAAUCCAAGAACCAUUAAUUGAGAAACAAGUAGAAAUUGACCCUAAUGAAGACACAAAUAGAGAAUGUAAAAAAGCCGCAUUGAAAGUCAAAAUAAUUGUAUUGGAGUCGCAACUGGAAGAAGCAACAGAUAAGCAAGAAUAUUUGAAAGCAGAAUCUUUAAAAAAUGAGAUGAAUGAUGUUAAAAAGAAAUUACAAGAUUUAUCUAUAAUCAAACCAGCUACUGAAAUGAUCAAAGUUACAAAAGAUGAUCCUAAAACAAUUUGUGAAUGCUUGGAUUUACUUAUUUGUAUGUUGUUACUUCCUUCUGUCAAUUCCAUGACCCCAUCAUUGGUUGCUGUAAAAGACGAAUUCAUAAUACCUUUACUGGAUAGUAAUAUCAGUGAAAUUAACUGGAGGGUAAUUAAAUGUAUAACAUUGUUUUGUCUAAUAGACGAGAAUUUAGUAGGAGAGUAUCUCAAGGUGAUCUGCAUACCAAUUAUUACAUACAGAGCUAUACCAAACUACAACAAGCAAGCAUUAAUUGCUGCAGUAAUGGCUAUCCCAGAUAUGUUCAGAUUAUAUGGUGUAAACGUAUUUAGUAGUAUCGAGAGUGCUAUAAGUGUCAAUUCGAACCAAACUGUAAAUUCAUCAUCCAAUAAGAGAAGAUUAUAUUGUAUUGAAGAAUCUGACGAAAGUGUUAUCUUUGCUAAUAAAUUUCAUUUGGAAUCCAUUAUAGAUGUUAUGUUUGAUAUGUUGGACGAUGAGAUUUGUGAAAUUCGAAAUAUUGCUGUAGAAGCUAUUUCAAAGUUAAUCUUAAACCAGUUUCCAGUAUCGUCAUUAUUAAUUUCGAGACUAAUAUUGAAAUGGUAUAAUCCAUUAACUGCUCAAGCUUCCGACAAAUCACAACAACUCAUAGGAGUCGUAAUUACUAACUACGCUAAAUCUACUGAAAGUGCCAAAGAUGUUAUAGCAAAAGCUGUUAUCCCAACGUUACAAAGUAUCUCUAAUGCUCCUAGGACUAGUCCUCUUGCAGUUGUUGAUGCUGAUAAUUUGUUACUAUUUAUUUCAACCAUCACAGACUGUGAUGAAAAGAUAGAUGUAUCAAGGACUCAUAUAAAUAUGGCACAUAUGUUUACCUCAGAAAUAUUAAAGAAAAAAAAUGAGGUGAUCGCCAUACAUCUUUCAAAACUAUUAUUGUAUUUGAAUAUUUCCUCAGAAAGUGUUUCGGCUUUGAAGGAAUUAAUAGCUAAAGUGGAAACUGCAUUGCAUGAUGAAAAUCUAUCAGAGAAAACAUUGAGAAAAAAUUUGAUAAAAUUCCAACAAAAACUAAAUACACUCUUAGAAAACCAAAUUCAAGCACAAAUCACCAAUUUGGAAAUAACCGAAAACUCAACUAUGGUUUCAAAUAUAGAAGAAAAUCAAGAUGAUCCUAACAAAGUAAACAAAAAUAAAGUUAAAAAAAAUCAGACAACUACAUUUAUGCCCUUGAUUAGAGAGGAGGAUGAAGAAGAUAUAUUUGAAUCAAGUCAACAUUCAAACAUAUCUGAUACAAAUGAAAAUAAUGUCAACAGUUCCAAAAGUGAGGAGAUAUCUAAUGGAACUUUUAUCAAUGAGAAUACUAAAAAAAGAAAUCGGAAGCAGAGAAAUAUGAAUGAAAAUAAUACUGAAAACUCAGCUAAUAACACUGAUAGUGACGAAGAAUGGCAUAAUAAGAAAAAGUUUAAAAUGCCAGUGGUACUUUUAACCCAAACCAAAUUUCCUGUGAAUCAGAUUAUGGCAAAAAAUAGUGACAAUGAUAAAGAAAUUGAAAAUGUCUCUGACAUUUUAUCCAUAAGUAAAGAUUCUGACAAAAAUAACACUACUAGUGAAGAUAACAUUAUAAGUGCAACCCCAGAAGAUGAAAAAGUUUCGAAGUUAGAAAAAAGGAAGAAACCUUCAUCUAAAAUUAAUAUCUUAGAAGUAGUAACAAUCAAACCCCAAAUGAAGAAUGCUAUAAAUAGUAGAGGUGAAACAAGUUCAGAUUCUGAAAAUUUCAACAAGAAUACCAGUUGCAGCCCAAGGUUACGAUUAAGAUCGAAGAUCAUAAAUAAAGAGAGGAAUUCCAGGGAGAAAACUUCUUGUGUCAAGCGAUUAUCAAAAAAUAAAUAUGGUUUAGUAGCUGGAGAUGAGGAUAAGGACAGAGGAUGUACAACAGAAAGAAAUUUUGAAGAUAACGACAACCAAAUAAAUAGAGUACUAAGGUCAUUAAAAAGCAACCAAAUAAUCCAUGUACAAAAAUGGGAUGAAAAGAGUAGUUCAAUUCUAAGUAAACCCACAAAACAAAGUACAAAAACCAUUUUAGCUAGUGAGGAAACAAGCACUGAUAGCUUUGAAAAUAUAAGACACCGUAAAAAAGUAACAAAUCGCGAUGUGGUGAGUCCAAUCUUAAAAAAAAAUAAUAAAAAGUAUACAUCACAAGGACAUUGUGAUUCUGAAAUUACUAGUAGUGGAAAAAGCACUAACGAUUCAAAGCAAUCUACAAAUUCUAGUCAGAAUUACAACACCAGAAAUAACACCCAAGUGGCAAAUAAUCAGAAUAAAACAUUAACAAAUAAAAGAAAUAUUCGAAAACGAAAACAGUUAACAGUUUUAGUCGGUCAUUCUAUGCGCAAACGAAUGAGGUUAAGAAAUGAAACAAAUAAGUAUAACAGUGAAGCAAAUGAAAGUAAGGAAAUCAGAAGCUCUCCCAGAGUAUCCAGAAGUGAGAAAAAUGGGCAUAGUCUGAUACCCAAUAAAAAAACACUGGGAACUAGAAAAUCUUCAAAAGAGAGUUUAAAUCAACAUGAAACUAGUAGGAGCAGCAGCAGUAGUACUACACUACAUACAAUUCUUCCUGAUAUUUCACAGAUUCAGAUAUUCAAUGAUUCAACUUGUUCAUCCAAAAGUAAUGAUAAUCUCGACGUCGUACGAGGUUGCAAAGUUUAAAUACACGUUCUCCGAUUACAAAAAGCAGGCUUCGAAGAAAAAAUAAUUUAUUUGGAGAAUGGAAUGUGAUCCCUUAAGAAAAUCAAAGGAAACGAAAUUUGGAAAAUUUUAUUUAUAUAUUUCUUAUUUGUGUAAUAUAUGUAUAAUAUAACUAAUAAAUGAAUAUAUAUAUAUAUAUAUAUAUAUAUAUAUAUAUAUAUAUAUGUAUGUAUAUAUAUAUUUAUUAUCAUAUAUCAUAAUAUGCAUAGGGCAAAGGAUCACUGUGUAGUUUAUUUUUGAAUAAGGAUGAAAUAUAGCUAUUUGUCAUAUAUUUAGACAGUAUAUAUAUAUAUAUAUAUAUAUAUAUAUAUAUAUAUAUAUAUAUAUAUAUAUAUAUAUUAAAUAAAAUUUUGUAUACGAGGUGCGUUUAAUAUACUCAUACUUUAUUUCUUCUUCUAAUUGAUUUUAUUUUUUAUAAUUUGAAAAAGUAUUUGUUUCUCGAAAGGAAAGCAACCAUUUUCCUAUUUACCGCAAGGGAAAAUUAAUUAAAUCUCAUUCAAAGAUCAUGACGCCAAGCCACCAUUCUAGGGAUAUCAAAUCUUUAAUGGCGAGCAAUUGAACAGAAGGAAGCAAAAAGGUCAAUUAGCAUCAGAUCUUGGAAAUUAUGUAAUUUAAUGUUUCUAUUAAUUAUCAAAUCUUUAUAUUUUGUUAUGAGAAACUAUCAUCAAUGUUUUCGACUUGUUAAAAUUUAAAACAUCACAACCAAAAUAAAAAUUAUAGAUAAAUAUAUUAGACGCGCUUCGUUUAUUUAAAAAAUUUUAUUUAUAAAUACAAGAAUAUUAAUUAUGCUGUUUCUAUCAUCUAAGAUGUGGAGGUGAAAAAUAUAAUUAAAACAAUUUUUUUGGACAAAUACAUUAUAUUUACCAACACAAAGUCUUACAAUACAAAAAGAAAAAGAAAACAAAAAACAUACACUUUAAACUUAUAACAAUAAAAAACAUUUAGUUAUACCAUUUUUUUGCUUUUCUUUAUUUUCUGGUGAAAUAUUAGGCAGCGCACCUUCAUGACUAAAACACCAACUGAAAUUCGGUCAUGUUUCAAAAACAAAUAAAAAAAUAAAAAACAGAUAUUGUUUUGAAAUAUGACCAUACUCUCAGCUUAUUUAAAUAUAUCUAUAUAAUAUAAACACUAACUAAAAACUGAUCUAAUAUUCCACCUGAAAAAGGCCUUAAUUAUUUUUUUUGUUUUACUACACUAAACCUAACUAAUUUUUCUUAAUUUUAAACUUACCUAAAUGUUAAACCUAUAAAUCUAAGUCUAUAAGCUAACUUAUCUAAAUGCUUUCUAGCAUACUUUAUACAAAUGGGAAGUUAGUUCCCACAGACUCCAUAUUUUAAUUGGAUAUAAAUAAUCAAUUGCAUUUGAAUAUUCUCAUUUUAUUAUUCAUAUUUAUUCAAUUACAAAUAAAUGACAUUGAUACUUAUAGGCUGAAUUAUUCAAAUCAUUUAUUAAUGUAUUCUGAAUUGAACAUUCAGAUUAUUAAUUAGUAAUUUCAAAUUUGUUACUAAUUAAAAUCACGACAAAUUAUAGUAAAAACAAAAUAAUAUAAACUGAGCCAAAGUAUCAAGUAAUACUUUUUAAAUCUAUAAAAACGAUGACUCGUCUCAAUUUGUUACAAAUAUUCAAUAGGAUUCAAAAAUGCAAACGUUAUUUUCUACCAAUCACUUUUUUCAGUAGUUCUUACCCUUGAGAACCAACUUUAUGACUUUAAUAAAUAGGUAGUCGCUGAUCGAUUUUUCGAUUAUUAUGGUCUAAAAAUAACCUCACUAUCAUCGAAAUACGUUAUCAUAUCGUGUAUAUGAAAAUAAAACUGAUUUUUUUAUCAGUUAUGCUGUAUAAAACCUUCACAAAUAAUGUCAAUACUUCAAUGCAAUAUUUGGCUUCAGCUGUUGCACUCAACUUUGUUUUAUAUAAUAGAUAAAACAUUGAUUUUAAAUUACUAUAAAAUCAGAUGCUCGUGCUUUUCGUGUAAAGAUGGUUGAUUAGCAAGUUUUGAAAUAAAAUUCAAAACCCCAAAUUCUAUAGUAAUGAAUGCCUCGAAAAUGACCUUCAUGUAAUUGAAAACAAUAUGAUUAUGCGAGAAUAUGUUAUACUAAAAAAUUUUAUAAAAUAGAAUAGUAUUAAACAUACCAUCCUCAAGUGAAUUAAAAUCUUUGAAGUAAUUGUAUUGUCUUUACGGUGGGACCGAGGACUAUAACUUCAGAUCACAAUGUCCUAUCUAUCUCUGAAUUCCCCUUUUUUCUAAAUUGACAAAGUGAAACAACAGAAAAUUUGUUCAAUAAGUUAAAAACUGUUUCAAAUAAAGAAAGACUUAUCAUUAAAUUGUAUAUUAUAUUCUAUAGGACAAUUAACCUCUAUCAACAUUAUAUUCUGUUUAGAAUAUUACCAGUGUUGUCAAUUUCUAGAUAUUUUAUACAAAACAAAGCUGAGUUUACUUUAUUUUUGCUCUUUGUAAACAAGAGCGCAUAGUCUCUAGAACUUGUUCACUAUAAACAUACAAAACUUGGAUGGAGGGUGCAAAGACACUCUGCAAUAGCAGUUGUUAUAAUGUGUCUUUUUUAUUCUACCCUGACCUCCAUUUCAAAAAAGGAAACCAAAAAAGAACAUUCACAAAUCGUCUACAACACAUAAACAACUAUAAGGUAAAAUUUAGUUAUCGGUUUUUUCAAGAAUACACCGAGUUAAAAAAAUAUAUAAAAUAUUUUUCAGUAUAUCCCCUGUGGACUAUCUGAAAAGGCACAAUAUCUUUCAAGUGAAGUUCUAUGCAUCAAUUGCCCGACGAACAGUUUUACUUACUGAUUUAAAUUACAGACUUAUUUUUGGGAGUAAGGAUAUUUUUUUGUUGAUUUGCUUAUAGAUUAUUAGGUUAAAAAGUAGCAAUCAAAUUACAAAGCAUGAUCAGAUAUAAUAAUUGAGAAAAAACAGAAAGGUUAGUGAUAAAUUCUGCUCCCAUAUUUUUAACCAUUAGUUAUUGACAUUAGGAAAGAAACAAAACCAGAAUCAAUUAUAGGAAAAAUAAACAUCUGAAUUGGUAUAAGCAUACUGGAAGAAUCAAGAUAUAUAGAUUGACAAGAACAAUAAUGGAAGCAGAAAAAAACAUUACACAAAUUAAGAAAUUUUCUAACUAAAAUGUAAAAAAUAUUGAAACUCUAGUUUUUCACUGAACAUAUUUAAAAUAAUACCUCAUUUCAUAUGCCUUCACUGUCCUUCUGGGACACCUUGUGAAAUAAUAUAAAUCCAAUCAUUUUAGUGAUAUAACCUAAACCAGUAAGUAUGUCAGAUACCGACCAACAUUUUUAUCAAAGGCUAUGUCUCAUCAUUAUGAAAUAAUCAAAAUAUAUGUUUCCAGUAAAUAAACCGGAUUUAUUUUCUCGCCCUUACGUUCAACUAUACACAGAACUGAAAAAAAAAAUAGAAAAAUCACAGCUUCGCGUCUCCAAGUUCAUCUACUGGAUAUGUUUUAAAUAAAUAAUACAGUCAGUCCAUUUUAAAAGAAUCCCAAUUUAAUAUAUAUUAUUUUUCAAUCAUAAAUAAAUCUAAUAAAAUAAAACAAAAAAAAAUUGCACUAUACAUACUUUAUCUAUAACGUAACUGUACAAAAGUAGGGACACGUUUUAAAACGAAAAAAAGAAAACUUUCUGAAUAAAUAGUGAAUAUUAUCAACAAAUCUAAGACAUUGGAAUGUCACAACAAACAAUUCAGGUUCUUUUAUAAAAACUGAUAUUGACAUAUCUCAUAAAACAAUUGGAUAUCAACCAAAAAUAUCAGAUUCAAUUUUUUUACAUCAAAUGAAUUUCAUACACUUAAUUGAGAUCAUGUCAAUUUCUAUUGAAAAUUGAUAUGGUUCCACCAUUAUCGUACGAAAUUAAAAUAAAUAAAUUUUUAUAAAAGAUAAAAUAUUGUGCAUUAUUUUGUUAUAGUUAAAAUACUGAUGUUAUUAUUAAAAUACUGAAAAUUCUACAAAAUGUUUCACUUUGCAUUUUUUUGCGUGUCAACAAUGUAUUAACAGUUAUAUGGCAGUCUUUGUUUCAACACAAAAACUGCAAAGAUAAUAUUAUAGAAUUACAAAAAAUGAUAUCGCUCAUUGAUUAUCAAUUGUUAUAUUAAUAAAUAAGAAGUAAUAAAAUAUAAUGGAUAAAUUUCAGAUUGUUUGAGAAUAUCGUGAAUGAUUAAUAACCCAUGUAUUUGGCAUAUCGGAGUUUCCUUAAUAUGGAUAUUCAUCACACUAAUUUGGCGUUAAUUCUUUUUUACAAAUAUACUGCUCUAAGUUGUACCAGAAUAUUGGAGAGAGUUUUAUUAUACUUAUUCAACAAAUUAAUCUGUCGUUAAUCCUUUUCCACAAAUAUGCUACUCUUACAUCAAAAAAAUGUAUUACAUUAUUAAUUCCUAUUGCUACAAUAACUUGUAGUUUUGUGCUCUAAAAUCGAUCAUCUAGAAGCCUAUUGAUCAUCCAGGCGAUAAUAUUGAUGUGAGAAUUUUAUCUCAUUAAUAUUGUUAAUCCAUUGGCUUAAGACAGUCAUACACAGUGUGCUUCGCGGAACCCGGGUUCCUGGAAGCCUCAGUGGGAGCUCAGAGAGACUUCAAAAAAAAAAUGAAAA